CAGUGUUACAUCUCUUUUAGAAUUUGUCUAGCAGGUUUUUCCAGUCUCUACCGGAAGUCCCCC
rnacentral:snRNA from 1 species